rnacentral:misc_RNA from 1 species
UCGCGGCUUAUCACCGGCAGUCCCCUUAGAGUGCCCAACUGAAUGAUGGCAACUAAGGGCGAGGGUUGCGCUCGUUGCGGGACUUAACCCAACAUCUCACGACACGAGCUGACGACAGCCAUGCAGCACCUCUACCGAUGUCCCUUGCGGGAACACCCAUCUCUGGAUGCGUCCUGUGCAUGUCAAACCCAGGUAAGGUUCUUCGCGUUGCAUCGAAUUAAUCCACAUGCUCCGCCGCUUGUGCGGGCCCCCGUCAAUUCCUUUGAGUUUCAGUCUUGCGACCGUACUCCCCAGGCGGAAUGCUUAAAGCGUUAGCGACGGCACCCGGGGACUUUAUAACCCCAGACACCAAGCAUUCAUCGUUUAAGGCCAGGACUAC